rnacentral:rRNA from 1 species
UACGUAGGUGGCAAGCGUUGUCCGGAUUUACUGGGCGUAAAGAGCGCGCAGGCGGUCGUUCAAGUCGCGUGUGAAAGCCCCCGGCUCAACUGGGGAGGGUCACGCGAUACUGAUCGACUCGAAGGCAGGAGAGGGAAGUGGAAUUCCCGGUGUAGUGGUGAAAUGCGUAGAUAUCGGGAGGAACACCAGUGGCGAAGGCGGACUCACUGCCCGAUACUGACGCUGACGGCA